UGACAUGGGGGCANCUGAUCCUUAAUGCCGCGUGAGUGAAGAGCGCCUUCGGGUUGUAAAGCUCUUUUGUCAGGGAAGAAACGGUUUUGGCUAAUAUCCAGAGCUAAUGACGGUACCUGAAGAAUAAGCACCGGCUAACUACGUGCCAGCAGCCGCGGUAAUACAGUAGGGUGCAAGCGUUAAUCGGAAUUACUGGGCGUAAAGCGUGCGCAGGCGGUUUUGUAAGACUGUCGUGAAAUCCCCGGGCUCACCUGGGAAUGGCGAUGGUGACUGCAAGGCUAGAGUUUGGCAGAGGGGGGUACAAUUCCACGUGUAGCAGUGAACUGCGUAGAUAUGUGGAGGAACACCGAUGGCGAAGGCAGCCCCCUGGGUCAAAACUGACGCUCAUGCACGAAAGCGUGGGGAGCAAACAGGAUUAGAUACCCUGAUAGUCCAAGCCCUAAACGAUGUCUACUAGUUGUCGGGUCUUAAUUGACUUGGUAACGCAGUUAACGCGUGAAAGUAGACCGACUGGGGAGUACGGUCGCAAGAUUAAAAACUCAAAAGGAAUCGACGGGGAAACCCGAAAGCGGUGUGAUGAUGUGGAUAAA
rnacentral:rRNA from 1 species